AAACGACUCUCGGCAACGGAUAUCUCGGCUCUCGCAUCGAUGAAGAACGUAGCGAAAUGCGAUACUUGGUGUGAAUUGCAGAAUCCCGUGAACCAUCGAGUCUUUGAACGCAAGUUGCGCCCGACGCCUUCUGGCCGAGGGCACGUCUGCCUGGGUGUCACGC
rnacentral:rRNA from 8 species